AUUGAACGCUGGCGGCAGGCUUAACACAUGCAAGUCGAGCGAGCGGCGGACGGGUGAGUAAUAUCUGGGAAACUGCCUGGUGGAGGGGGAUAACUACUGGAAACGGUAGCUAAUACCGCAUACCAUCAGAUGUGCCCAGAUGGGAUUAGCUAGUGGGGGGGGUAAUGGCUCACCAAGGCGACGAUCCCUAGCUGGUCUGAGAGGAUGACCAGCCACACUGGAACUGAGACACGGUCCAGACUCCUACGGGAGGCAGCAGUGGGGAAUAUUGCACAAUGGGCGCAAGCCUGAUGCAGCCAUGCCGCGUGUGUGAAGAAGGCCUUCGGGUUGUAAAGCACUUUCAGCGAGGAGGCGUUACCCACAGAAGAAGCACCGGCUAACUCCGUGCCAGCAGCCGCGGUAAUAC
rnacentral:rRNA from 1 species